rnacentral:rRNA from 1 species
CAGUCGCCACGGUAAUACGUAGGGUGCGAGCGUUGUCCGGAUUUAUUGGGCGUAAAGGGCUCGUAGGCGGCCUGUCGCGGCGGAAGUGAAAGCCCACUGCUUAACGGUGGGUCUGCUUCCGGUACGGGCAGGCUGGAGUAUGGCAGGGGAGACUGGAAUUCCUUGUGUAGCGGUGGAAUGCGCAGAUAUCAGGAGGAACACCGGUGGCGAAGGCGGCCAUCUGGGACAACACUGACGCUGAGGCACGAAAGCGUGGGGAGCAAACAGGAUUAGAUACCCGCGUAGUCCCUGUCUUAUACAC